UAGGGAAUCUUCGGCAAUGGACGAAAGUCUGACCGAGCAACGCCGCGUGAGUGAAGAAGGUUUUCGGAUCGUAAAACUCUGUUGUUAGAGAAGAACAAGGACGUUAGUAACUGAACGUCCCCUGACGGUAUCUAACCAGAAAGCCACGGCUAACUACGUGCCAGCAGCCGCGGUAAUACGUAGGUGGCAAGCGUUGUCCGGAUUUAUUGGGCGUAAAGCGAGCGCAGGCGGUUUCUUAAGUCUGAUGUGAAAGCCCCCGGCUCAACCGGGGAGGGUCAUUGGAAACUGGGAGACUUGAGUGGAGAGGAGGAGAGUGGAAUUCCAUGUGUAGCGGUGAAAUGCGUAGAUAUAUGGAGGAACACCAGUGGCGAAGGCGGCUCUCUGGUCUGUAACUGACGCUGAGGCUCGAAAGCGUGGGGAGCAAACAGG
rnacentral:rRNA from 1 species